GUGUGGCUCAGUGGUAGAGCAAGUGCUUGCCUAGCAUGUGAGGUCUUGAGUUCAAUUCUCAAUAACACA
rnacentral:tRNA from 1 species